UCUAUCAGUCAGUAGCUCAGUGGUAGCUAGAAUGUUUGGCUGUUAAUUAGCUGCCUAAUUGUAGGUUCAAAUCCUACUUGUGGAG